GUUUAACCCGGUUGAUCCUGGCCAGUGGCCAUAUGCUUCGUUCAAGGACUAAGCCAUGCAAGUGUCAGAGGACACUGUGAAUCGAGAGUUGAUCUGUGAAUGGCUCCUUAGAACCAGUUGCCAUCGACGUGAUAGACCGUUUGUGGCACCAGCCUCUCGCCCAAGGCGCUCAGUUGGACAUUCCUCAACACCUGGUGGCUAAUACACGAUCAAGGGGUCAGCCAAAGGACCUGUGGUGAUGCAACAACCCUCAAAGUCGCUUCGCGUCUCACCCUCAGUGGUAGACUGCAACCAGCUGGUGAUUUGUGAUUUGUCUGGCUGAUCCCGAUAACUAGUGAGAUCUCUGCAUCUGACUAGGCUCUGGCUCGCAUCUGUAGGGUCGUUCCAGUCCCAGCACCGAUCGGACCCAGGUCGCCCCCGUGGCGCCUGGGAGCCAUCCGCUCGGUUGUCUGGCUGGUUCACCCGAGAGCCAACGAGGAAGUCUUCUCUGAGGUGCUGCUUGACGACCAGAAGGCUGAGCAUGCGAGAGGCAACAGCAGGUCUGUGAUGCUCCCAGAUGUUUUAGGCUGCACGCGCACGACACUGAUUCAGUGAAGGAGUCACCUUGAAGGCAAUGGUUCACCCACUGCCCCGUGGCCUGAAGAGGCUGGGAAACCUUGCAAACCUGAGACGUGAUGGGGAUAGACGAUUGCAACUGUGUGUCUUGAACGAGGAAUGCCUAGUAGGCGCAGGUCAUCAGCCUGGACCGAUUGAGUCCCUGCCAUUUGUACACACCGCCCGUCGUUGCUACCGAUGGCAUUGUGUUAGAAGCCUGUGGAAUGGAUGCCCCCCGUGGGUCCCUGCG
rnacentral:rRNA from 1 species